rfam:Ornithorhynchus anatinus chromosome 5, whole genome shotgun sequence.
CCCCUCUCAGGAUCGCGCCAGGAGAGUUUCCAGUUCUCUACCAGUGUCCACUAAAGGAGGGAGGGUGAAGCAGAGGCAUACCCAUUCCAUUCCUAGCUUGGCCAGUGGCUAGCGAGUGGAAGACAAUCUGCUACAAGU